rnacentral:tRNA from 1 species
GGGCCCGUGGCUCAACGGUAGAGCAUUCGACUCAAUACCAAUCGUCGCGAGUUCGAAUCCUGGCUGGUCCA